CCUGUCACUCCUACGGGAGGCAGCAGUGGGGAAUAUUGCACAAUGGGCGCAAGCCUGAUGCAGCCAUGCCGCGUGUAUGAAGAAGGCCUUCGGGUUGUAAAGUACUUUCAGCAGUGAGGAAGGCGGGUACGUUAAUAGCGUGCUCGUUUGACGUUAGCUGCAGAAGAAGCACCGGCUAACUCCGUGCCAGCAGCCGCGGUAAUACGGAGGGUGCGAGCGUUAAUCGGAAUUACUGGGCGUAAAGCGCAUGCAGGUGGUUUGUUAAGUCAGAUGUGAAAGCCCGGGGCUCAACCUCGGAAUUGCAUUUGAAACUGGCAGACUAGAGUACUGUAGAGGGGGUAGAAUUUCAGGUGUAGCGGUGAAAUGCGUAGAGAUCUGAAGGAAUACCAGUGGCGAAGGCGGCCCCCUGGACAAAGACUGACGCUCAGAUGCGAAAGCGUGGGGAGCAAACAGGAUUAGAUACCCUGGUAG
rnacentral:rRNA from 1 species